GACGAACGCUGGCGGCGUGCUUAACACAUGCAAGUCGAACGGAAAGGCCCUGCUUUUGUGGGGUGCUCGAGUGGCGAACGGGUGAGUAACACGUGAGUAACCUGCCCUUGACUUUGGGAUAACUUCAGGAAACUGGGGCUAAUACCGGAUAGGAGCUCCUGCUGCAUGGUGGGGGUUGGAAAGUUUCGGCGGUUGGGGAUGGACUCGCGGCUUAUCAGCUUGUUGGUGGGGUAGUGGCUUACCAAGGCUUUGACGGGUAGCCGGCCUGAGAGGGUGACCGGCCACAUUGGGACUGAGAUACGGCCCAGACUCCUACGGGAGGCAGCAGUGGGGAAUAUUGCACAAUGGGCGGAAGCCUGAUGCAGCGGCGCCGCGUGCGGGAUGACGGCCUUCGGGUUGUAAACCGCUUUCGCCUGUGACGAAGCGUGAGUGACGGUAAUGGGUAAAGAAGCACCGGCUAACUACGUG
rnacentral:rRNA from 1 species